rnacentral:lncRNA from 1 species
GCAACAAUAAUAUCUUGACAGCAUUUACACUUUAUAAGCUUGACUUGUUAUACAUUAGAAACUAUUUCAAUCAAGAAAAAUGUAACAAAAUCCAUUGGUAAAUUUUAGGGAUUUUUAAACUUCUACUUUCAUUCUUAAAAGAAUGGCAAUGAUUUAGUUUUCUUAUGAAUUCUGCUUUCUUGUUUGGCCUUUGUUUCAAUUUUAGUCAACAGAUUUAAUGUCAGUAUUCCUACCUUCCUGUUUAAAACAGCAAAAACCAGAGCAGCUAGACUCUGAAGAUGCAUUGUAAUCUGUUUUACAGCAGAUUUUUACCUGGGGCACAAAACAGCAUAAGCUGUUCUAUAUGGUAAUGCCACAGAGAGGAUUGAACUUGAAUGCUCUUUCAAAUCAACUAAUUUAGAAAAUUAGUAUUACUUAGGUUUGAAAUAGUAUUACUCAGGUAGUUUAAGAAUAUCA